GAUUAGUGGCGAACGGGUGAGUAACACGUGGGCAAUCUGCCCUGCACUCUGGGACAAGCCCUGGAAACGGGGUCUAAUACCGGAUACAACCACUGACCGCAUGGUCGGGUGGUGGAAAGCUCCGGCGGUGCAGGAUGAGCCCGCGGCCUAUCAGCUUGUUGGUGAGGUAGUGGCUCACCAAGGCGACGACGGGUAGCCGGCCUGAGAGGGCGACCGGCCACACUGGGACUGAGACACGGCCCAGACUCCUACGGGAGGCAGCAGUGGGGAAUAUUGCACAAUGGGCGAAAGCCUGAUGCAGCGACGCCGCGUGAGGGAUGACGGCCUUCGGGUUGUAAACCUCUUUCAGCAGGGAAGAAGCGAGAGUGACGGUACCUGCAGAAGAAGCGCCGGCUAACUACGUGCCAGCAGCCGCGGUAAUACGUAGGGCGCAAGCGUUGUCCGGAAUUAUUGGGCGUAAAGAGCUCGUAGGCGGCUUGUCGCGUCGGUU
rnacentral:rRNA from 1 species